rnacentral:rRNA from 1 species
UAAUACGUAGGGGGCAAGCGUUGUCCGGAUUUAUUGGGCGUAAAGAGCUCGUAGGCGGCUUACCAAGUCGGGUGUGAAACCUCCAGGCUCAACCUGGAGCUGCCACUCGAUACUGGUAUGGCUUGAGUCCGGUAGGGGACCACGGAAUUCCUGGUGUAGCGGUGAAAUGCGCAGAUAUCAGGAGGAACACCAGUGGCGAAGGCGGUGGUCUGGGCCGGAACUGACGCUGAGGAGCGAAAGCGUGGGUAGCAAACAGGAUUAGAUACCCUGGUAGUCCACGCCGUAAACGAUGGGUACUAGGUGCCUGGGGGAGCGACCCUCUGGGUGCCGGCGCUAACGCAGGAAGUACCCCGCCUGGGGAGUACGAUCGCAAGGUUG